rnacentral:rRNA from 1 species
CGUGGUAAUUCUAGAGCUAAUACAUGCUAAAAACCCCGACUUCGGGAGGGGUGUAUUUAUUAGAUAAAAAACCAAUGCCCUUCGGGCUCUCUGGUGAUUCAUAAUAACUUAACGGAUCGCAUGGCCUUGCGCGGGCGACGGUUCAUUCAAAUUUCUGCCCUAUCAACUUUCGAUGGUAAGGUAUUGGCUUACCAUGGUUUCAACGGGUAACGGGGAAUUAGGGUUCGAUUCCGGAGAGGGAGCUGAGAAACGGCUACCACAUCCAAGGAAGGCAGCAGGCGCGCAAAUUACCCAAUCCCGACACGGGGAGGUAGUGACAAUAAAUACUGAUACAGGGCUCUUUUGGGUCUUGUAAUUGGAAUGAGUAAAAUUUAAACCCCUUAACGAGGAACAAUUGGAGGGCAAGUCUGGUGCCAGCAGCCGCGGUAAUUCCAGCUCCAAUAGCGUAUAUUAAAGUUGUUGCAGUUAAAAAGCUCGUAGUUGAAACUUGGGCCUGGCUGGCCGGUCCGCCUCACCGCGUGUACUGGUCCGGCCGGGCCUUUCCUUCUGGAGAGCCUCAUGCCCUUCACUGGGUGUGUUGGGGAACCAGGACUUUUACUUUGAAAAAAUUAGAGUGUUCAAAGCAGGCCUUUGCUCGAAUACGUUAGCAUGGAAUAAUAGAAUAGGACGUGCGAUCCUAUUUUGUUGGUUUCUAGGACCGCCGUAAUGAUUAAUAGGGAUAGUCGGGGGCAUCAGUAUUCAAUUGUCAGAGGUGAAAUUCUUGGAUUUAUUGAAGACUAACUACUGCGAAAGCAUUUGCCAAGGAUGUUUUCAUUAAUCAGUGAACGAAAGUUAGGGGAUCGAAGACGAUCAGAUACCGUCGUAGUCUUAACCGUAAACUAUGCCGACUAGGGAUCGGGCGAUGUUAUUAUUUUGACUCGCUCGGCACCUUACGAGAAAUCAAAGUUUUUGGGUUCUGGGGGGAGUAUGGUCGCAAGGCUGAAACUUA